AUUGACCGCUGGCGGCAGGCCUAACACAUGCAAGUCGGACGAGUGGCGGACGGGUGAGUAAUGUCUGGGAAACUGCCUGAUUGAGGGGGAUAACUACUGGAAACGGUAGCUAAUACCGCAUACCAUCUGAUGUGCCCAGAUGGGAUUAGCUAGUUGGUGGGGUAACUGCUCACCAAGGCGACUAUCCCUAGCUGGUCUGAGAGGAUGACCAGCCACACGUGAACUGAGACACGGUCCAGAUUCCUACGUGAGGAAGCAGUGGGGAAUAUUGCACAAGGGGCGCAAACCUGAUGCAGCCAUGCCGCGUGUAUGAAGAAGGCCUGCGUGUUGUAAAGUACUUUCAGCGGGGAGGCGUUACCCGCAGAAGAAGCACCGGCUAACUCCGUGCCAGCAGCCGCGGUAAUUC
rnacentral:rRNA from 1 species